GUCCUUGGCCAUCCUGAAUGCACCUGAUCUCAUCUGAUCUGGGAAACUAAGCAGGGUUAAGCCUGGUUAGUGCUUGGAUGGGAGAAUGUCCUUGGACUUCAUCUGCACCAUGGGCU
rnacentral:rRNA from 1 species